rnacentral:rRNA from 1 species
CCUACGGGUGGCUGCAGUGGGCAAUAUUGGACAAUGGGCGAAAGCCUGAUCCAGCCAUGCCGCGUGUGUGAAGAAGGCCUUCGGGUUGUAAAGCACUUUCAGUGGGGAAGAAAGCCUUGGGGCUAAUACCCUCGAGGAAGGACAUCACCCACAGAAGAAGCACCGGCUAACUCCGUGCCAGCAGCCGCGGUAAUACGGAGGGUGCGAGCGUUAAUCGGAAUUACUGGGCGUAAAGCGCGCGUAGGCGGUCUGAUAAGCCGGUUGUGAAAGCCCCGGGCUCAACCUGGGAACGGCAUCCGGAACUGUCAGGCUAGAGUGCAGGAGAGGAAGGUAGAAUUCCCGGUGUAGCGGUGAAAUGCGUAGAGAUCGGGAGGAAUACCAGUGGCGAAGGCGGCCUUCUGGACUGACACUGACGCUGAGGUGCGAAAGCGUGGGUAGCAAACAGGAUUAGAUACCCGAGUAGUC